rnacentral:pre_miRNA from 1 species
GUAGGGAAGGGGAAGAAAGAGCACAAGAGCACUAGGAAUGGAAACAUGGAGGAAAGCUUAAGUUUUUUGUUUCCACUUCUCAUUUUGGAGGUGCAAAUAUUUAGUUUUGUGCUUUCCUGAUGCCUUCCAUUUGUAUGGUUCUUGAGCACUCCUUCCUCUCCUCUUUUGCU